AGAAGCUGAUAAGGCUCGUGGUGGAUGCCUAGGCGCCAGAUGCCGAAGAAGGACGUGGGUCACUGCGAAAAGCCUCGGGGAGCUGUGAACGAGCGACGAUCCGGGGAUGUCCGAAUGGGGAAACCCGAUGGAGCGAACCUCCAUCAUCGCUUACUGAACACAUAGGUAAGCGAGGGGAACCUGGGGAACUGAAACAUCUAAGUACCCAGAGGAAAAGAGAGCAUUCCCUGAGUAGUGGCGAGCGAAAGGGGAGCAGCCCAAACCGCAUGGGGAACCAUGCGGGGUUGUAGGGCUCAGCGGAUAGGAGGAAGAACGCGAAGGUUAGCGGAAAGGUGUGGGAAAGCCUACCAGAGAGGGUAAGAGUCCCGUACGCGAAAACUGGAGCGCUCCUGCUGAGUACCUGAGUACUGCCGGGCACGCUAAUCCGGCAGGAAGCUGGGGGGUCCACCCUCCAAGGCUAAAUACAUCUGGCGACCGAUAGUGAACAAGUACCGUGAGGGAAAGGUGAAAAGUACCCCGGUGAGGGGAGUGAAAUAGAACCUGAAACCACGAGCUGACAAGCAGUUGGAGGGCUAAUGGCGUGACGGUGGCCUGCAGGAAUGCAGGACGCGGCGCUAGGCCUGACAGCGUGCCUCUUGGAGAAUGAGCCUGCGAGUUAAUCUCUGUGGCGAGGUUAAGGGAGAGACACCCGAAGCCGUAGCGAAAGCGAGUCUGAAAAGGGCGGUGAGUCGCAGGGAUUAGACACGAAACCGGGUGAGCUACCCAUGUCCAGGGUGAAACGGGUGUAAAAGCUCGUGGAGGCCCGAACCUACUAACGUUGCAAAGUUAGGGGAUGAGGUGUGGGUAGAGGUGAUAUGCCAAACGAACCCGGAGAUAGCUUGUUCUCCCCGAAAUAGCUAUAGGGCUAGCGCCUCUCAGUAAUCAACGGAGGUAGAGCACUGAAUGAGCUAGGGGGCUUAGGGCUUACCGAACUCAAUCAAACUCCGAAUGCCGUUGAUGGAAGGGAGGCAGUCGGACUACGGGUGAUGAGAUUCGUGGUCGAGAGGGAAACAGCCCAGAUCAUCGGCUAAGGUCCCCAAAUUCAAGCUAAGUGGGAAACGAUGUGGAGUUACCGAGACAACCAGGAGGUUGGCUUAGAAGCAGCCAUCCUUUAAAGAGUGCGUAAUAGCUCACUGGUCAAGUGAUUCUGCGCGGAAAACUUAACGGGGCUAAGCUUGAUACCGAAGCCAUGGGAUGUGUACGGAGGUACACAUCGGUAGGGGAGCGUUCCGCGAGCGGGGAAGGCAUACCGGAAGGAGUGCUGGAGCGAGCGGAAGUGAGAAUGCAGGCAUGAGUAGCGCAAAACACGUGAGAACCGUGUUCACCGAAAGUCUAAGGUUUCCGACGCCAGGUCAAUCCGCGUCGGGUUAGUCAGGUCCUUAGGUGAGGCCGAAAGGCGUAGCCGAUGGGAAGUCGGUCAACAUUCCGACACCGGUAGACUGGAGCGAAGGGGGGACGCGGGGAGGUAAGCCAGCCCACGAAUGGUGGUGUGGGUGCAUGGUGUGUCAGGCGAAGAGGCUGGGAGGGAAACCCCCUGGCUGAGCUGAGACACCGUGGCGGGCCGUAAGGCGAAGUGAGCUGAACCUAACCGCCGAGAAAAGCCUCUAAGCGAAGAAGGUAUACCGCCUGUACCGCAAACCGACACAGGUAGACGGGUAGAGAAUACCCAGGUGAACGAGAGAACCCUCGUUAAGGAACUAGGCAACAUAGCCCCGUAACUUCGGGAGAAGGGGUGCCUGCUCGGGUGACGAAAGGAGCCUGGGCGGGUCGCAGCGAAGCGGCUCUAGUGACUGGUUAACAAAACCACAGGUCUCUGCGAAGUCGAAAGACGACGUAUAGGGGCUGACGCCUGCCCAGUGCCGGAAGGUUAAGGGGAAGGGUUAGCGAAAGCGAAGCUCCGAACCGAAGCCCCGGUGAACGGCGGCCGUAACUAUAACGGUCCUAAGGUAGCGAAAUUCCUUGUCGGGUA
rnacentral:rRNA from 1 species